UGUCGUCAGCUCGUGUCGUGAGAUGUUGGGUUAAGUCCCGCAACGAGCGCAACCCUUAUUAUCAGUUGCCAGCAUUCAGUUGGGCACUCUGGUGAGACUGCCGGUGACAAACCGGAGGAAGGUGGGGAUGACGUCAAAUCAUCAUGCCCCUUAUGACCUGGGCUACACACGUGCUACAAUGGACGGUACAACGAGUCGCGAAGUCGUGAGGCCAAGCUAAUCUCUUAAAGCCGUUCUCAGUCCGGAUUGUAGGCUGCAACUCGCCUACAUGAAGUUGGAAUCGCUAGUAAUCGCGGAUCAGCAUGCCGCGGUGAAUACGUUCCCGGGA
rnacentral:rRNA from 1 species